rnacentral:rRNA from 1 species
UCGAGAAUCAUUCGCAAUGGGCGAAAGCCUGACGAUGCGACGCCGUGUGAACGAUGAAGGCCUUCGGGUCGUAAAGUUCUUUCGCCUGGGAACAAGAGAAGCCGAUUAAUACUCGGCUAAUUUGAGGGUACCAGGAAAAGAAGCACCGGCUAACUCCGUGCCAGCAGCUGCGGUAAUACGGAGGGUGCAAGCAUUAAUCGGAUUUAUUGGGCGUAAAGGGCGCGUAGGCGGUCUGGCAAGUCAGAUGUGAAAUCCCGGGGCUCAACCCCGGAACAGCAUUUGAAACUCCCAGACUAGAGGGUAGGCGGAGAAAACGGAAUUCCACAAGUAGCGGUGAAAUGCGUAGAUAUGUGGAAGAACAUCGGUGGCGAAGGCGGUUUUCUAGCUUAUACCUGACGCUGAGGCGCGAAAGCAAGGGGAUCAAACAGGAUUAGAUACCCCUGUAGUCC